CGGAGGGAGCUAGCGUUGUUCGGAAUUACUGGGCGUAAAGCGCACGUAGGCGGCUUUGUAAGUUAGAGGUGAAAGCCUGGAGCUCAACUCCAGAAUUGCCUUUGAUACUGCAUGGCUUGAAUCCAGGAGAGGUGAGUGGAAUUCCGAGUGUAGAGGUGAAAUUCGUAGAUAUUCGGAAGAACACCAGUGGCGAAGGCGGCUCACUGGACUGGUAUUGACGCUGAGGUGCGAAAGCAUGGGGAGCAAACAGGAUU
rnacentral:rRNA from 1 species